rnacentral:misc_RNA from 1 species
UCCGGUUUGGCACCGGCAGUCUUCCUAGAGUCCUCGGCAUCACCCGUUAGCAACAGCAGGCAGGGGUUGCGCUCGUUGCGGGACUUAACCCAACAUCUCACGACACGAGCUGACGACAACCAUGCAGCACCUGUGCAUCCGUCCCGAAGGAGGCCCUGGCUUUCACCAGGGUUGUAGAUGCAUGUCAAGCCCAGGUAAGGUUCUUCGCGUUGCAUCGAAUUAAACCACAUGCUCCACCGCUUGUGCGGGCCCCCGUCAAUUCCUUUGAGUUUCAGCCUUGCGGCCGUACUCCCCAGGCGGGGCACUUAAUGCGUUAGCGCCGGCACCCAGGGGGUCGCUCCCCCAGGCACCUAGUGCCCAUCGUUUACGGCGUGGACUAC